GAGGCAGUAGCUCAGUGGUAGAGCCCCCGAUUCGCAUGUGGGUAGACCUGAAUUUGGUUCUCGGUUGCUUCC
rnacentral:tRNA from 1 species